AAGAAAAUAAUUGCACAUCGCAUAUUAUUACACAUAUCAUAAUAUUUUAUUAUUGUAUUAUGUACAACAGGUAUACGUCGAGCGGCGGAAAUAACGCACAUAAUUAUUUUUUUUAACAAAUAGUACUCAUACUUUAUUCUAGAACAAUAAAAACAUUUUUCGAACGCCUCACGCGCGUACGCCGGGGACAAACCAGUUUCUAAGGUUUUGAGCGAUUCUAUAUAAUAUAUAAUAAUAUGUUUAUCGUCAUCGUCUAUCUCCGAUCUCGAAUACGCUCGUUUUGGCGGAAAGACGAUUAAAAUAUAUUAUAUUUCCGUUUUAUGCGAUUUUUUUUUUAUAGUACAUUAUUCGGUCGUGCAUGCCCGCGAAACGUUUAGGUUAUACAUAUGGCGUCAUCAUCGUCGUCGUUGUCGUCAUCGCAAUCGCGUCAUUGCCGAAGCGAAUGCAUUAUAACAUCCUCUCGAAAACCGUGGGCGCGUGGGAGUGGAUCGUUUCGAAAACGACGAUGAUCGAGGAAGAAAGAGAAAACAAAUAGCUUUACAAUUCCCGUCGAUGAUCUGCUGUACACUGUACAGUUUACAGCGCACCGUCAACUUAAAACGUUCACCGAACUGCUCCGCAAUACAAAUUAGCAGACAAGCCACCGAAAGAAAAUAAAUUUAACAAGUCUGUUGUGCUCGCGAUUUGCAAUAUAUUUUUUUAACUUAAGAUACCCACAAAUAUGUAUUUCGUGAUACUCGUAAUAUUAUAUUAUAGUAUGGUCUAAUAAAAAACUACUGGUAUGAAAUCAUUGUACCAUUAUUAAUAUAAUAAAUUGUAAUAAUAUUAUGUACAUACCUGCCGAAAAGUUCCACAAUAAUUCCGAUAAAGACUCGUGUAUUUGUAUUGGUGAUUUUCUUUAAAUGGACAUCAUUCUGAUCCAGGUAUAUAUAGCUGAAAUCUUUUUAUUUACAAUAUUUUACUACAGCAUUAUUAUGCUGCGUUUAUAUUUAAUAGUAAAAUAUCAUAUGCUAUACAUAAUAUUGCUUAAUUGUAUGAUUAGAGAAAUAUUUAAGAAAAACUAAAACUUAUAAAAUAUGUGUCUGGUUUCCAAAAAGUAAUGCUCUAUAUGUGACCUAUAAACGAGUAAAAGCUUCGACAUAGAAAUGUAUUUAAUAGUAAAUAAUAAGCUCAGUUACAUGUACCCAUUUUCUGCAAUAAAAACAUAUUAGUCUGCGCUUUUUCCUAAAAAUAAAAAUUAAAAAAACAUCUAAUAUAUUAUAAUAAUGAUUUUUCAUAUUCUACGAAGUUUACAAUCAUCGUCUGUGUUUUUAUAAUGUUAUUAUUUUAUCAUUAAAUAUUACCAUAUUGCACUGU